rnacentral:rRNA from 1 species
GCAAGUCGAGCGGACAGAUGGGAGCUUGCUCCCUGAUGUUAGCGGCGCACUGGUGAGUAACACGUGGGUAACCUGCCUGUAAGACUGGGCAUCACAAAGGAAACCGGGGCUAAUACCGGAUGCUUGUUUGAACCGCAUGGUUCAAACAUAAAAGGUGGCUUCGGCUACCACUCUUCCGAAGGACCCGCGGCGCAUUAGCUAGUUGGUGAGGUAACGGCUCACCAAGGCAACGAUGCGUAGCCGACCUGAGAGGGUGAUCGGCCACACUGGGACUGAGACACGGCCCAGACUCCUACGGGAGGCAGCAGUAGGGAAUCUUCCGCAAUGGACGAAAGUCUGACGGAGCAACGCCGCGUGAGUGAUGAAGGUUUUCGGAUCGUAAAGCUCUGUUGUUAGGGAAGAACAAGUACCGUUCAAAUAGGGCGGUACCUUGUUUGUACCUAACCAGAAAGCCACGGCUAACUACAUGCCAGCAGCCGCGGUAAUACGUAGGUGGCAAGCGUUGUCCGGAAUUAUUGGGCGUAAAGGGCUCGCAGGCGGUUUCUUAAGUCUGAUGUGAAAGCCCCCGGCU